rnacentral:rRNA from 1 species
GCAGCCAUCAUUUAAAGAAAGCGUAAUAGCUCACUGGUCGAGUCGGCCUGCGCGGAAGAUGUAACGGGGCUAAACCAUGCACCGAAGCUGCGGCAGCGACACUGUGUGUUGUUGGGUAGGGGAGCGUUCUGUAAGCCUGCGAAGGUGGCCUGUGAGGGUUGCUGGAGGUAUCAGAAGUGCGAAUGCUGACAUAAGUAACGAUAAAGCGGGUGAAAAGCCCGCUCGCCGGAAGACCAAGGGUUCCUGUCCAACGUUAAUCGGGGCAGGGUGAGUCGACCCCUAAGGCGAGGCCGAAAGGCGUAGUCGAUGGGAAACGGGUUAAUAUUCCCGUACUUGGUGUUACUGCGAAGGGGGGACGGAGAAGGCUAUGUUGGCCGGGCGACGGUUGUCCCGGUUUAAGCGUGUAGGUGUGUGUUCCAGGUAAAUCCGGUUCACUUUAACACUGAGGCGUGACGACGAGGCACUACGGUGCUGAAGCAACAAAUGCCCUGCUUCCAGGAAAAGCCUCUAAGCAUCAGGUAACAUCAAAUCGUACCCCAAA